UUUGGAUCCGACUUUUAGUCCGGAAGAUGAUUUUGUUGAUUUGAUAGAGUUUUUGUAAAUUACUCAUGUCAGGGGAGGGGGAGGUCACGCGCUAUAAUCAGUCCACGGAAAAAUCUCAUAAAAAGGCGUUUUGGCCUCGAGGAACGAAAAUAAAUCGUGGUUAACUUGACAUCCCUUUGCAAACAAACGCAUAGCAAGGCGAUUAUUAUCCUCCGAAUUGACUGAACGAAAUAGCGGUUUCCCGUCGCGAUCGCAGUGAUACAGCAAUGUUUCAAGUGUGGAUUUAGCUGCGAACGAACGACUUCAACACUGUCUGCAUUAUAUGACAGUAUAAAUUCGUCUCGAAAAAAUAAAAUUCGCGCAAUUUCCCGUCGUUUAACCCGUCUAUUUGCCUACGCCCCGAAACUGUUUCGAUUGAGUCAGAAAGGGUAAUAUCACGAAGACGCGCACGGCGAUGGUGUUGCAAUCCUGCCUCUGGGAUUCACUACUGAAAAUGCCGCCAACAAUAUACCAAAUUGGACCAGUUCGACCUUUCAGAGGUAAAAACAUGCAUCAAAUGAGCCCCAAGACGACCAAAAUUUAACUACAUAAAAUUUACAGCCAAUGAUCGGAACGUUCUUGUGGGUUCGACGUCUACAUGAGGAGACCUAACCAUUAUCUAGAGACAUCGCCCCGAUAGGAAUUUUGAGAAUGCUUAUUAUCCCAGUCUCGAUAGAAGAUCGAUCUGGCGUUCAGGGAGCUGCUAUAAAGCGCUCAUUUGAACCCGACAAUUAGAGUAACUAAGUAGGCACUCGACCGAGAUUGGAACUCCCAACCGCUUAAUCAUUUUGCUGGUACUAUACAAUCAUCAUGGCUACCGUGGUUGCCUUUGAGUAUUUCAAGAAGUUUGCAACUGACUGGGCAAUUUUAGAACAAGACUUGGCCAAUCAAAAUGUCGUUUCACAACUGGCGUGUGCCAUAUUGUGCGUGCGACUGAAAUGCUUAACGUUUGUAGACCUACGUGAUGAUGAAUUACGUGUGUGUCAGCUGAGUAAAAAGAAGGGUUCGUGUAUGGAAAAGGAGGAGGCCUUCAGAGAAGUAGGAUCCAGGAUGUAUCAGAAGAAGGUAAUUGUAUGGCAGUGACUUCGCACUUAUGCUAUCAUCAGGAUAGCAACACCGGUCCAGUUUGGGUAAGAUGAGACUAUGUCACCAUGGUGACGCAAAAUAAACAUAUAUUUUUGAAUCGCCAAUGGUUUGACGUUCGUUUCUCUCAAAUACGUACUUAUUCCUUUUUCCAAAAGGUAUUUCUGAAACUCUCUUGCUUAUUUCUUGUUUAAAACAUGGAUUACCUUUCACUCGAUUUAUGUCUAUCGAUUUGUGAUA